rnacentral:sRNA from 1 species
GCCUGGAGUGCUUAAGAGGGAUUUCUUCCAGUUCUCUUGCCCUGGCCUUCAGUGUAUUAGGUGUAUGACCUCCAUGCUCUCAGUAGAGGCCCAUAGAAAAGAGCAGGUAGGUUAUGCCAGCUCACACGCAUCCUUUAAAAAUGGUUUAGAAGUUUAGCUGGUUUCUUAUUAUUCCUGACUAUGGAUGUUUCCUUCUGUCACUCUACUAGGGAUGAAACAGCUAAUUAUGUUCAAGAGUUAAAUUUAGAUUGGUUUUUAAAAACUAUGAUUGUAUUAGUUCGUUUCCAUGCUGCUGAUAAAGACAUAUCUGAGACUGGGAAUAAAAAG